CAAGAACGACUCCCAGCAACGGAUAUCUCGGCUCUCGCAUCGAUGAAGAACGUAGCAAAAUGCGAUACUUGGUGUGAAUUACAGAAUCCCGUGAACCAUCAAGUCUUUGAACGCAGGUUGCGCCUGAAGCCGUCAGGUUGAGGGCACGUCUGCCUGGGUGUCACAC
rnacentral:rRNA from 1 species